GGCCCGCCUCGGGAAAUCGGCCACCGCCCGCCCGCUGCUCCCCGGAGAUCGAUUUCCAUUCCGAGCGGAGAUUUACACGGCGCGAUAAAUUCCGCGUUCACGGGUCCAAGGUCGUGAUUGUGUAACGCUGCUCUAGCAGGUCGACUAGUGCGCUCAUAAAUCGCAAUUGUCUCCCUGGGCUCUCUCUCUCGCUCCUGCCGUCGCAUCCUCCCCGCGUCCGUCGUCAACGAUCGGAUCGCCGUUGAUCCUCCGUGGCUUCCCGUCGUCAUUCGCGUAUUCGGUACUGGCGAUCGCGACGCGAGCAUCGUUCCCUUCAACAUCCGGAAAGAGAGGAAGAAAGAUUGAACGACGCUCCGUCGACGCAUCUCGGUAAUCCGAUCGUCGAUUGCGCACGGAAGGUCGAGCGAAUUCCGCAACCGGUCAAACGGAAUCACCUGCCGGCGGGGAUAAUUUUGGAUCGCUAUGCACCUGUUGCGGGCGCAAGGUCGCGCGGAGGUAUUGUGCAACCGCGCCGCGCUCUAAAACUACCGACUUGAUCGACUGCACUCGGGCCCCCUCCUCCCUGCCUGCCUCCCCCUGCCCCGCUGUGUCGUUGAUGCAGUCGCACCGGCGGCGGACGCCGCAGUCGCUGCUGUUUAAUCACGCUGUGAAUAAUCGAUGUCGACGCCACGCAACUGCCGCACUGCAUCGGACUGCGCGGCGCGCGCCUUCGGAAUCGCGAAUUCGGAGCUCCCCCCCUCCGCCCCUCCAGAGAAGGAGCGAGAGAGUGCGUGUGUGUGUUUCGCAUCUGCGCCGCGAUUUUUCGACCAUCGCGACCGCCAUCUUGCCGGGAGUUGUUGGACGCUUCGAUCUUCGCGCGUGAUUUUCCGCUCGGAACGCGCUCGCUAUGAACGUGGGCGGACGGCCGGUAAUUGAAUCUCCCACACGACCGUUGUGAAUUGCCGCGACGUUUUGGUGCCUUUCGUGCUGAGUCGCGCGGCCGGGGGCGGGCUGGUGCAGCGAUUCCGUGAACCCGUGACCUCGAGAGCACGUUUGCAUCCUGGGCCGAUUCCAGCAAUCGAUGUCGUUCUGCGCCGGGCGGAAGGAUGUUAUAAGGAGAGACGUGAAACCGCGUAUCUUCUUUCCUCGUGUCUCGUCUUCGUCCUUCGUUCACGUGGCGUCUCUGGUGUUUAUUCGGCGGCUCCAACGUGCCGAGAGGGAUUUUUCUGCUCGAAUACUUUUCGCUUUCCGAUAACGAAUGAACGCUUUUUUUUUUCUUCUGAUUUUUAUCGAAUAAACGCGUAAAUAAAUAUGGGUCACACGAACGUCUUGAGUCCGUACACGGACAGCUGGGUUUCUCCGAUAUCGGACCGCAGAGCGAGAUCGAUCGUUCCAGGUUCAGGAUAUCGAAUGUUAUAAUACCAAUCGUCCUUGAAUAACAGCGUAGCGUGCGGCGAUAUACGACAGUUUAUUCGCGACGAACGCGCGCGAAUCCAUGUAUAUAUCGGUCGAAACGCGACGCGCGUGAAUAGUCGGUCGCACGCGAUAAUCCGCCGCGUUUCGGCCAUGACGACGUGACACGCGACGAAAAAUCGCGGCUGUGCACGUGAGCGAAUUUCGGCUGCUGCUGCCUCGACGGAUAAUUGAAUUUUCUGUUUGAUCGUCGUAAUAAAAUUCAGCCGGAUGUAAGUUCGUCGCGAGAUUCGGUCGACGGAAUCUUCCCGCCUCUCGACGAUUAAGUUCAAACGGAUUAUCCCGCGCGCGUAAAUACGGAAAGAUAUAUUUGCAAUGUAGAAUCAUGAAUGAAAUGUAAACGAGCCGAAAGUAACGGGAUCCCAUCGACUCGGUAGCAUCGCCGGUGAUGCCCUUGAGGUGCAUCGACAGGUCUCUGAAAAGAUUAACCGUCUGAAAGCGUUGAGAGGAGAGGCGUGUGCGUUAACGUGACUCGCGUGGUUAGCACGAUGAUGCGACGCGUCCCGACGCCGGAGCGUCGCGGCACCGGGGACAGUGACUACUAUUAUUAGAAGCGUCGUCCUCUUCUCGUUUCGCGCUUCGAGGGGAAAAUAGCAUCAGCUGACAUCCUUCUGGAAUACGCCGCUGGUUCGGCCGAGGAAACCCUCGACUCUUCGCACCGCCGUUUUCACUGCGAAAGCAGUUGUGACUUUUCCCCUCACCUUAGAGAGAGAGAGAGAGAGAGAGCUUAAUUAAAAUCCACCGUGCGCACGACAUGCGGGAUUAACGACAAACGCGAAUUACAUUCUCGGUCGCGUCGCGGAGCGAAGAUUUAAUUACGCGUGCGUUUUAAUCGCGUGACUCGGACACACCGUUAUUAGCACCUUACGCCAUGUGGGCGAAAUAAAGACAUCGGUGAUGGAGAGGGAGGGGGUGAAAGGGUACCGAGGGAGUAAGCGAGUGAGAAAGAGCAAGAGAGAGAGAGGAGGGGAGGCAAACAGAAUGCGGAAAUUAACGGAUAAGCUAGAGAAAAAAAGGAGAGAGAAAAGGGCAUGAGAGAGCGAGACGAGCGGAAGCGAGCCAAUAUGAGAUUACAGGGCAGUUGGGGCUCGUGCCAGAUGCGCGUUUACACGGGCCCUGAAUACUGUAAAUGCACUAUCUGGUACGACAUCUCUUCUGUCGCCGGCAUCAGCGACGGAGUGAUUACAACGUCGAUUCUUAGUUUAGUGCCGUAUAGUGUAAAUAAGAAUCAACACACGAAUGUACGGACUGUGAGUGCGGAUAAUCCCUGCUGCGUGGAAAGCGAACGAACGACGAUUGUAUGCGAUUGUUCCUCGGGAUUGUCCCGCUGGAGUUCGCUCCGUAAAAACGGCGAAUACGAGUGCAUUUGGCAUCCUCCUACGUGAGAUCUAUCUAGUUACCGUUCGAGGAAUAGUUAUAAUUAUAAUCAUACGCGAUGUAAAUAAUAGCGAAGUGUUUGAAGGAAGCUCCCGACGCUGGCAGCGUUUCACAGAUGUUAAUCAAGUCCCGGAGUACCGUAGUGCAUCAAUCUCGCUCGGCAGUUUCGAUUCGGAGUUUGUUUGGAGCGGUAAUUAGCGAUAUUUAACGGCAUCCGUGGGUUGCGCAAACAUCGGGCAAAUUUCGAGGAAAUCGACGAUGAGUUAGCGUGGGAUAUCGGCUGUUGACUCUAUCGGCGAACCUUUGUGGAGAAUUAAUUCUUACGCGCGGAACGUCCACUCGAAGCUGUGUGCUGUACGUGUUGCCGCGAGAAAGAAAAUCUCGCCGACAGGCGAAAAUUGCGCCUGCCAAGCGUCGCCUUUUGCCACUCCUUUUUCUAUAUAUUGUACAAUAUACACUCGCUGUGUGAGGAGGGAGGGGCGGGGGAUUUAUUCAAGCGACGAAUGUACGCGCUGCGAAUGUUUUCUCUUUCUUUGUUUUUCUUCUCGAUAUUGCCGGUAACAACAGAGCUCCCCGAAUAGACUGUGAUGAUGACGUUCGAUCGUCUGUAACGAGGGGCUUGUUAACGGUGGAAUAUGCGCGCAGCCUACACACACACACACACACACACACACACACGUUUCAUGUAUCGAGCGUCCGCACAUACGAAACGUACAAUUAUGCGCGCACGCACACACGCACGCAUCGUUUAUAAACCAUAGGAUCACAUAUUGUAUCUCGAAUGGCAAUAAAAAUCAUCCAAUGCGUUUCUCAUUUAA